GGCAGGCCUAACACAUGCAAGUCGAACGGUAACAGGAAUCAGCUUGCUGAUUCGCUGACGAGUGGCGGACGGGUGAGUAAUGUCUGGGAAACUGCCUGAUGGAGGGGGAUAACUACUGGAAACGGUAGCUAAUACCGCAUAACGUCGCAAGACCAAAGAGGGGGACCUUCGGGCCUCUUGCCAUCGGAUGUGCCCAGAUGGGAUUAGCUAGUAGGUGGGGUAAAGGCUCACCUAGGCGACGAUCCCUAGCUGGUCUGAGAGGAUGACCAGCCACACUGGAACUGAGACACGGUCCAGACUCCUACGGGAGGCAGCAGUGGGGAAUAUUGCACAAUGGGCGCAAGCCUGAUGCAGCCAUGCCGCGUGUAUGAAGAAGGCCUUCGGGUUGUAAAGUACUUUCAGCGGGGAGGAAGGGAGUAAAGUUAAUACCUUUGCUCAUUGACGUUACCCGCAAAAGAAGCACCGGCUAACUCCGUGCCAGCAGCCGCGGUACUACGGAGGGUGCAAGCGUUAAUCGGAAUUACUGGGCGUAAAGCGCACGCCCGCGGUUUGUUACGUCAGAUGUGAAAUCCCCGGGCUCAACCCUGGGAACUGCAUCUGAUACUGGCAAACUUGAGUCUCGUAGAGGGGGGUAGAAUUCCAGGUGUAGCGGUGAAAUGCGUAGAGAUCUGGAGGAAUACCGGUGGCGAAGGCGGCCCCCUGGACGAAGACUGACGCUCAGGUGCGAAAGCGUGGGGAGCAAACAGGAUUAGAUACCCUGGUAGUCCACGCCGUAAACGAUGUCGACUUGGAGGUUGUGCCCUUGAGGCGUGGCUUCCGGAGCUAACGCGUUAAGUCGGCCGCCUGGGG
rnacentral:rRNA from 1 species